rnacentral:lncRNA from 1 species
AAGCUUGCACGUGCAACACACGUCUAUACUAAAACACAUUGUAUCAAAUAUUUGUAGUUCUAAAAAGCUAUCUUCAAAAAUCAAACAAGGUUUCUGAGUCAACCGAAACAAAAAUCCAGAAACUAAGAUAACAUCAUCCAUUAGCUGCCAUAAACAUCUCAUCACUUAUCCUCUUUCUCCGCGUCGACAGCCUUCUUCAUCCGGGCUCCCAACAGGUGUUGGUUAAACAUCUCGACACGGAGCUUGCCGUAUGCAUGUGCUUCUCGCCGCCGCGAGUGAUGGGCAUGUAGUGGCCCUGGACCUCUGGAUGGCUGUAGCAAGGCCGUGUUAGGAUCAAAUCACCAUCCUUGAAGCAAAAGAGGUGUAAACACGAAGAAAAAUAAACAAAUUCAAUAGUUGCAAGCACACCUUAGGAAGAUAAAGCUUGCCAGGUUGUCGUUGUAUCUCGCGCCUGUCGACAUUAGACUGCAUAACCUCCAGUUACAUGUUCUUCUGUUGGUGGUCCAUGAAAAUGCCAAUGGUCAGAACAAGUUUCUUUGGGAUGCCCAUGACUGACAUUUACAGUACAUAAACAUCAACAAAUAAUAAAAGAAAUCUGUAUAAUAUAAGCCGGUGUCUCUACAUAUAAUCUCAUGUAGCAUCCUAACCAAAAGUCUGAAAUAUGCCAUUCUGCAAACUAAAGUUUUUGCAUAUUAUAUAGACAUACCAAGUUCAGUGUUGUGAGUUUAGAAAGGCGCUAAAGUAAAAUUUCAGAACCACUGUCAGUUAUUUUCAUCAAGGCUAUUUUUUUGGCUUUAUCAUUUACCAUUUUCCCACGGGCUGGAAAUAUUCAUAAGGAUACAAUUUCACAAGAACAUCAACGGAAGAGCAGAUCAAUCAUUCUCUGAAGUUUGAAUGACAGAAGUGCAAUUUCUGACCCAGGUGUAUGGUGCACGAUACGCCCACCUAAAUAUAAUAAAUCAGAAUUGUUAUGUCUAAUAUUUCCAUGCUUUUAUAUAUUAGUUUUUUAAAUUGCACUUUUAAGAGGAGAAAUAUUUCAUGGACAGUUAAAAUCCCCAGGCAUUGGAACUGCAUUUGCUCGAUCCUUGAGUGGAUACCUUCGUUGUUACCCUUUAGCAUCCUAACUACUACAAAUUUUAGUGGGGGUAGUUAGAGAAACAGGCAGAAAAUAGGAAGUAAAUUAUACUCCCAAGAAAAGAAAAACAAAAGAUAAGAGUAAUCUGGAUGUGGCAUACCUGGAAAGUAGAGCUGAGACUGACUAACCAUUUUGCAUUAAGGUUUGCAAAUACAUCAUCUCGAUAUUUGAAAAAGGGUCCUUAUAAUCAGAACAAUCUAUUUGGCAAUAGCAGUUUCACCCAAGUUGGUUUUGCGAUGCAAGAAUAGAAACAAAAUUCAGUUAUUUUCUACAUCAGGCUAAUACAAGAGAAAGGUACACGCAUAAUCAAUGCGGACAGAUUGAUGAUAUGACAUACCCACAUAGAACCUAGCUAAUAUGCAUAACAAUGACAAGUUAUUUAUUUCAUCAUAUUAAGG